rnacentral:lncRNA from 1 species
GGCUAGGGGUCUAACCGGAGCUGUAGACACCAGCCUACACCAGAGCCACAGCAUUGCGGGAUCCGAGCCAUGUCUGCAACCUACACCACAGCUCACGGCAACGCUGGAUCCUUAACCCACUGAGCAAGGCCAGGGAUCAAACCCGCAACCUCAUGGUUCCUAGUCGGAUUCAUUAACCACUGUGCCAUGAUGGGAACUCCCCAAUCUACAUACUUUUGCUCUGAAUUACCUUCACCAUUUCUAGGUGAUGUAAAUCAGCUGCUUCAUGAUUUCAUAGCUUUGUUGUAGCAUCUGAGUUUAUUCUAUCUCUACGUCACGUCACCAUUAUGUGUCCAGCUUCGAAGACACGGUUUCUGGCUCUAGCCUGUGUGGGAUGGUUUCCCUUUAGGUUAUCCUCAGCAUUAUUAUUCCGUAUUAUAAAUCUUGAGGAAGCUACUUGAAAUUAUUUUAAAGAUUAUGCAUAACCAUGUAAUAGUACUAGUGAUGCUACCAUGAUAUGGAUAAAACUGAUGAUGGUACCAGCUCUCUAAACAAAGUGCCAAGCAUGUGCUAAGAGCUAUAUACACAUUACCUCACUGAAUCCUCCCAGUAAUGCUAUAAGGAAGGUAUUAUCAUCAUAUUCGUUUCACAAAUAGGGAAAUUCAGGGUGAGAGGGGUAAGUACCUUACACAAGAUAAGUGAGCUAGUAGGAGGCAGAAUCUAAACUUGAACUCUGGUCUGCCUAAUGCUUCUAAAAUGCCUAUGCUUAACCACCUUGCUCUACUGCAGUGGUUCUCAAAGUGUGGUCUCUGGACCAGCAGCUUCAGCAGCACCUGAAAACUUGUUGAAAGUACAAAAUUUAAGGAGUUCCCAUUGUGGCUCAGCGGUAAGAAACCCGACUAGUACCCAUGAGAGUUCGGAUUUGAUCCCUGGCCUCGCUCAAUGGUUUAAGGAUCGGGCAUUACAGUGAGCUGUGGUGUAGGUAGCAGACAUGGCUCAGAUCUGGCAUUUCUGUGGCUGUGGUGUAGGCCGGCAGUGGCAGCUCCAACUGGACCCCUAGCCUGGGAACUUUCAUGUGCUGCAGCUGCAGCCCUAAAAAAAGAAAAAAAAAAAAAAUACAAAGUCUCACAUCUACUGAAUCAGAAACUGUGGGGGUGAGCCCAAUCUGUGUUUUAACAAACCAUCCAGGUAAUUCUGCGGCUCACUCAACUUUGAGAACCACUGCUCUACUGCCCUGAAAAUUUGCCUAAAAGGCCGCAUUCUUCUUAUCAAACCUUAUUUUUUGUAUCUGAAUUUGAAAGUGUGUGGUAGUUCCUUGAUCUGUCUUCCAGGGAGGAAAGAGAAAUCUCAGAUAUGGAAAAGUCAGGUUUCUUGUCCCUUCCCUGAAGGAGGAAGGGUGAUUCCUUGUCAUUCUCAGUGAGGGGAUAAGAGAGUUGCUGCUUUAAAAUAUAAAUCAGAAGAAAACACGAAGGAAAGAAAAACCGCUUUUUGCAGCAUAACUAAGCUGUUGUGGUUAGACAUAAUGACUGAAUAGUCCAAGAAGAUCCUGAAAUUCCCUUAGAGCUUUUAUAUACGAAUAAUACUAUGUCUACUUAAUCAAAAUAGUUUUUUAAAAAUCCUCCCUACAUGCAUACUUAAAAAAAGAACAUAAACCCCUUAGCCUUAUGAAUAAAUACAUCAAUGGAAAGACUGUUUCCUAGGUAGCAGAAUCAAUGGCAGUUAUCAUCAGCUUUCUUUGGUUUAAAAAUAAAAAUCCUUUUAGCUUUGCAGCUCACGCUGCCUAGAAUGUGACCUUGGUCUUUUCAAGCUUAUCUUUAGUCCAGAGCACUGUGCACCUCUGCAAAUCAGCCUCUAAUCUCUUUAAUACCUUCCUGCACGUGCAAUUUUAAAGCUAGGCCAGCGGCAUACGAACCAUCCUUUACUCCAAGGUCUCUGGAGAUACUUGUGGCCAAUCACUUACAAGGGCUUUCAUAAGGCCACAGGGGUAAAUAAGAGCGACAUGUAAGUCCUAUGUAAAACAGGAUGACUUCUCCACAGGUGCAGGUUUACCUGAGAAAGGUAAUGAGUGGCUCUUAAGUUCUACAGAAAUGAAGCAAAACAAGGAUAUGUGUGAACACAGAAGAGCUCACUCACACCACCCAAUACCAAAGGCAAAAUCAGUACAUUCCACCUGACCAAAUAAAAGAGUUCCUGGGCUAGAAUACGUGCUGUACUCUAUUAAUGCAAGAUGGGUCUUGGAUGUCUGGAUCCGCAGCUGAUGUUUUAUUAUAUCCCCUUUGUCUUCCUUCCUUCCGGAAAGAAUGGUAGGGAGGCCGUGAGCUGAUGGAUGACAAUCAGCAUCCAGCCACAUGGACCUCAUUAACCCCUCUUGUCCAAUACAUCAGAGUGAGGCUCAUGGGAACUACCAGUGCUCGGGAAUAUAGGAAAGCAAAGGAUGGGAGAGUCCACCAUGAGUCAUAAUAGGUCUAGGGAUUAGCUACACACUAUCUUUUAUUAGUGAAAGCUUUAUUUGAACAUUGUGUCCCAUAAUUUUAAAGGGAAAACUAGAGAAGAUUCCCUUCAAUCAAGAUAAUAGACCUUGGACAUUACGAUCAUUCAGCACGCAAAAAGAAAAAGAGGCUAAGAUACACGAACUAAAAUUAAGUGCUAUCAAAGAGUCUUUCCUUCCUUUUCUCAUUCAUUUAAUCAAUAUUAAGAGAGCAAAAACAUAUGCUAGAGCAUAUCUAGAAAAUGCCAACCAGUUCUACAUGUCCUCCCCAAUUCCCAAAAAAGCUAAACAUGAGACAGUGGACUCAAAGUAAAAAGCAGACUAUAUUUUGACUGACAUGAGUAAUAAAUACCAGAUGAUUGAAUUACUGGAGCACACUUCCAAAGAAGACUUGGAGUAGGCAAUAGUGGGCAAUGCUAGGUCCUGAGUAGUUUGGUCAAGUAUCCACCAGCCUGAAAGCAGUAAUCAAAACCUCUUGAAAUCUCUUCCAUCUAUGGUUUGUAAUUGCAUUCAUGGUAAGAGGUUGAAUACAAACUGAUGCCAAAUAUGAAAAGGCUAACUGGGAGUUCCCAUUGUGGCUCAGUGGGUUACAAACCUGACUAGCAUUCAUGAGGAUGGGGGUACGGGUUUGACCCCUGGCCUCACUCAGUGGGUUAAGGAUCUGGCUUUGCCGUAAGCUGUGCUGUAGGUCACAGACACAGCUUGGAUCUGGCAUUACUGUAGCUGUGGCUGUAGGCUGGCAGCUGGAGCUCCAAUUGGAUCCUUAGCCUGGGAACCUCCAUAUGUCACAAGUGCAGCCCUAAAAACAAAUAAACAAACAAACAAAAAAGCUAACCAAUGUAAAGAGGCUAAAAUUCCAUUUAAUACCAGUGAUACAGUCAGUUGUAAAAGUGAAAAUGAACAUCUUGUUGCCACAUACACUGUACUGAUAUUGUGUAUAUAUUAACUCAUUCAAUUUCACUCAGAGUCUUAUGAAACUCAGUCACAACUUUUUGAAUGUAACCGAUCACACCCAAAUAUCGUUGGUUUAAUUCUAAGUUUUCAUCCAGAUGUUCGAUACCGCUUAGUCAAAAUAUAUAUCCAGAACCUUACUAAACAUAAAGUAGUAUUUAAUGAUCAAAGUGUAACUUACCCUUGCCAUAUCCACCAAGAAGUUCUCAAAUAACUUCCAAAUGUGGUUACUUGUGUAGAUUUCCUUCAUUUCCACUUCAGUGUCAACGUAACAGUGAUUGACAAAAUUCACAUAGGCAAUUUUAACCUGUGCAAGUUACAAAUAUAAAAGAAAGUGAGUUUUACUUUAUUCUGCAUUUUCUAUUAUGAACGGUUAAAGAAACUUGUAUUAUUUCCUUAUAGUAAUUUAUAGCACAUUUUGUGUCUAUCCAGAGAGCAUUCCUAUCUCCUUUCUUUUGCUAAAACACUCCACCCCCGGACCCAGGAUAAACCCAUGACCUCAUAUCCCAUUCCCCCCGGGGGCCCAGUGAUGGGUAGGAGAAUGUGAACUUCAUGUAAACUAAGCUGAACAUACUUCAGACACUAGGAGUCAAAAGUGCUCCCUUUCCUGUGUCCCCUCUUUCCCUUCCCUCCUCUCCUCCUCAUAUCCCCUCCUCCUCUCCUCUUCUCUGUCUCUGUCAUUCAUUCAUUCAUUCACUCAUAUUUUCUCCCACUCUCUCUCUCUUUCUCAUUGUCAAAAUGGAACAAAGUAAACCUGAACUCCAAGCAGCCAUCUUCUCCAGGUGUGUGGAGGAAAAUUAUGCUCAGGUGAAGAGCAUGAGGGAAAAACACAAAGUACAGGGGAACAAGAGAUAAGAAGGAACUCUGACGUUGUUUGAACCUCUUAUUCCAUCUGAAUAACUACCCUUCAAUUUCCCCAAUAAAGGAGCCAGUAAAAUCCCCCCCCCUUUUUUUUGUCUUUUUAGGGCCGUACUUGUGGCAUAUGGAGGAGGGGAAUAUACAAGGUUAGAGUGGUGUGGUCAGAGAGAACGGAUUAGUCAGAAUCAGGACCCCCAGUAAUGACAGAACCCACAGAUUUAAUCUAUGCUUCCUUUCUUUGCCAUCUUAUUUCAAACCAAUCAAGGCAAGAAGUAGCCCUGGUUUGGGGUGCCAAUAAUGCCACAAAAUUUCAUAAAAAUAUACUUUCAAGUCCAUCACUAUGUAGGACUAUGUGGACGUAGGGAAGUGAAUCCAAGCUGACACCUUUUUAAGGUACUGUGAUUUAAAAUGUUGGGAUUUAUAUCCCAUUAACUGUAGCACACAUUUAUGAACUGUGCAACAACAUACCACAACAGUAGAAAAGAAAGAAAUUACUGCAGUGAACAUUCCUGGAAGCCUCAUUAAUGCUGCUGGCACACAGCCAGUUUCUAAUGAGUUUUUUUUUCCCUAUCACCAUGCUAAACUAGGAGAGAGGGUAAGCGAUGACGUGUGAAUAAAGCAAAACGCGUGUCUAUGUUUCCAAGAAUGCAUCUACUCUGUAAAGUAAAAGUAAACCUAGAAAAUCUAAGAGGGAUCCUGCAGCACCAUCCUAGCCUCUGCUAUUGAUGACUGUGAAUUAUUUACAACGCACCUGUUUUAUGCUCAAGAACAUACUAGAGGUUACAAGUACAUUUUUCAGUUUGGUCACAAUGCCAUGCCUAGAAAUUCCUAUAGUAACUUCUAGUAAAUGAACAGAGGCUAUACUUGAAAUAGGUUUAUCAUCUUUCAUAGUUCCUUGUGGAACAAACAAGGAAACUUCUUAUGCUCUUUUCAAUGUUUCUAAUUAUAGAACUAAGUACAAUCCCUCAGCUCAAGAGAUCAUCUCAUUAUAAAUAAUAGUAGGAGGACUUCUGGCACUUAUUAAAAAUUCAUAACAAUUCUGUUCCUGCUGAGCUUUUACUAGGCUUACCUCGGGGAUGCAGUCGUCAUGGGUCACUACCCUCACGAUGUCAUCCAGGGGCAGAAGGGAAUUGCACUUGAUUUCGGUGUAGACAUUUUUGCCUUCUGUGCACGCUGCCAGCAACUCCACAAGGGUGAUGUGGUAGGCUAAGGCACCACCCUCAUCUCCUCGGUCUCUCUCUGAACACAUCAUAUGGAGCAGGAUGGGAAAUGAUGCUCUAUCAUUGUAAAAUAUCAGCACAUCUUCACCUCCAUUUAUCAACUGAAAUGAUAACAAGAGAGUCUCCAUAGCAGUCCAAAUAUUCUCCUUAAUAGUUCUUGCCAAGGCUUGGUCUUUCUAGAAACACAUGCAGCUCUUUGUAAAAACAUAGAUAACACUACAAAAGCAGAACUACACCCAGGUGGGAGGGUAAAAAGUUUCUAGUCGUGUGUCAAGCGAUUAGUUGUGAAUGCGAUCAACACCAGUGGGGGAGAUUUGGGAGAGAUGGAUGGGGAGCAAGAAUAAAUGACACAGAUGACAGUAAACUGUUCAGUGAGUUACCCACUGACAUGAAACCUGCAAAAUACUCCAAUAAAGUUACUUCCUUCUACUUUAAAUGGAAAAUCCCAUUACCAAAGCAUGAGAGAUCUUAAAAGUCUAAUUUUACUAAAGAAUAAAAAUAUCUUCACCCCCUUCAAUAAUGACAGGAUAAGUAAGCAAGUAUAUUGAACCAAAUGCAGCACCAUAAGAAUUUGGAGAUCCAGGUGUCAUGGAUAUUGGUAGGGAAUGGAGGUAAAAGCAGAGACAGGAGAAAUAAAGAGGAAAAGACAACUCUAAAAAAAGAGAGAGAGACAAAGAACUAAGUAAAUAGGGGCUUUUAGGGCAUACAUUUUCCUUCCUGUUUUGUUUACGUAACUUGAGUGGAAUUCCAGCAGGUGGUAAUUUUAUCGCUCCAUCUCAGUAAUGGCUUAUUAUCUACUUUUCCUUUGCAAACUGUAUUUUCAUUUUAUUAAGGAAUUAUUUCCAUGACUGUCACGAACCCCAGGCUGAGGUAACAGGGAUGAGUUCUGGAAGCCACUACACCCUAGUCUGAACUUUGUGGGUUACAACCACUGUCCUCUCUACCUCAACUGAGGACCCAGACUCAUGACGUCUCAAUCCCUGCCCUCUCAUUCCUGGAAGAUGCCAAGGCCAACCAUGUAAGAGGCUUUUUCAGGCGAGAAGACAGCUUUUGCCUUCCCAAAAGACAAACCCUCUACUUCGCUCUAUGAGGCAGAUAGCAAUCCCACACCACAGACAGGUGGGGGCCUGCGCAGGCCUCAAUUCUCACUGUCAAUUACAGCACCAAUCUUCGUACGCCAAUGCGAAAUAUUUUAGUUACACAGUUUACGUCAUUUUUUUCUCUAUUUCAUUUGAAUUGGUAACAUAUUUGAGUUGACAAGGCAGUUAACUGGCUUACACUGAAAGUCUUGUUGAAAGAGAACAUAUAUGGGUGAAAAAUAUGUCUUAUAUCUUAACAAAAUAUCAUAAGUGCUUCUUUACAAUAGAAACACUUUACCUAAUAAAUGUCAUACUCUUAACUAUUUGCUGCUUUUCCAUUUUCAUUCUUUCCUUGAUAAUUUUCCAAAAUCAAAUUA